rnacentral:rRNA from 1 species
AGCGAACGCUGACGGCAGGCCUAACACAUGCAAGUCGAACGAUCCUUCGGGAUAGUGGCGGACGGGUGAGUAACACGUGGGAACGUACCUUUAGGUUCGGGAUAACUCAGGGAAACUUGAGCUAAUACCGGAUAAGCCCUUUUGGGGAAAGAUUUAUCGCCUUUAGAGCGGCCCGCGUUAGAUUAGCUAGUUGGUGAGGUAAAGGCUCACCAAGGCUCCGAUCUAUAGCUGGUCUGAGAGGAUGAUCAGCCACACUGGGACUGAGACACGGCCCAGACUCCUACGGGAGGCAGCAGUGGGGAAUCUUGCGCAAUGGGCGAAAGCCUGACGCAGCCAUGCCGCGUGAAUGAUGAAGGUCUUAGGAUUGUAAAAUUCUUUUAGCAGGGACGAUAAUGACGGUACCUGCAGAAAAAGCCCCGGCUAACUUCGUGCCAGCCGCCGCAGUAAGAC